rnacentral:tRNA from 1 species
UCCCUGGUGGCUCAGAUGGUAAAGAACCUGCCUGCAAUGCAGGAGACCUGGGUUCAAUCCCUGGAUUGGGAA